AGUGAACGCUGGCGGUAGGCCUAACACAUGCAAGUCGAACGGCAGCACAGUAAGAGCUUGCUCUUACGGGUGGCGAGUGGCGGACGGGUGAGGAAUACAUCGGAAUCUACUUUUUCGUGGGGGAUAACGUAGGGAAACUUACGCUACUACCGCAUACGACCUACGGGUGAAAGCAGGGGAUCUUCGGACCUUGCGCGAUUGAAUGAGCCGAUGUCGGAUUAGCUAGUUGGCGGGGUAAAGGCCCACCAAGGCGACGAUCCGUAGCUGGUCUGAGAGGAUGAUCAGCCACACUGGAACUGAGACACGGUCCAGACUCCUACGGGAGGCAGCAGUGGGGAAUAUUGGACAAUGGGCGAAAGCCUGAUCCAGCCAUACCGCGUGGGUGAAGAAGGCCUUCGGGUUGUAAAGCCCUGUUGUUGGGAAAGAAAAGCAGCAGGUUAAUACCCCGCUGUUCUGACGGUACCCAAAGAAUAAGCACCGGCUAACUUCGUG
rnacentral:rRNA from 1 species